AAUUUAUUGAGAGUUUGAUCCUGGCUCAGGAUGAACGCUGGCGGUGUGGAUAAGGCAUGCAAGUCGAGCGAUUUUUAUAUGCUUCGCAAGAAAUGUAUAAGAGUAGCGGCAAACGAGCUAGUAACACAUUGGUACGUACCUCAAAGAGGGGCAUAGCUUCGAGAAAUCGGAGGUAAUUCCCCAUAAUUCCUGCGAGCAAUCGCAAGGGUAAAGACGCAAGUCGCUUUGAGAGCGGCCUAUGGCCUAUCAGCUAGUUGGUGAGGUAAUGGCUCACCAAGGCUAUGACGGGUAGGGGGCGUGAGAGCGCG
rnacentral:rRNA from 1 species